rnacentral:rRNA from 1 species
AACGAACGCUGGCGGCAUGCCUAACACAUGCAAGUCGAACGAGAUCUUCGGGUCUAGUGGCGCACGGGUGCGUAACGCGUGGGAAUCUGCCCUUUGGUUCGGAAUAACAGUUGGAAACGACUGCUAAUACCGGAUGAUGACGAAAGUCCAAAGAUUUAUCGCCAGAGGAUGAGCCCGCGUAGGAUUAGCUAGUUGGCGUGGUAAAGGCGCACCAAGGCGACGAUCCUUAGCUGGUCUGAGAGGAUGAUCAGCCAAACUGGGACUGAGACACGGCCCAGACUCCUACGGGAGGCAGCAGUGGGGAAUAUUGGACAAUGGGCGAAAGCCUGAUCCAGCAAUGCCGCGUGAGUGAUGAAGGCCUUAGGGUUGUAAAGCUCUUUUACCCGGGAUGAUAAUGACAGUACCGGGAGAAUAAGCUCCGGCUAACUCCGUGCCAGCCGCCGCAGUAA